UCUAGAGCUAAUACAUGCGUCAAUGCCCGACUUCACGGAAGGGUUGCAUUUAUUAGAUACAAAACCGACCCGGGGCUCGCUUCGGAACAGUUGGUGAUUCAUAAUAACUAAGCGAAUCGCAUAGGCUUGCCUGGCGAUAGAUCUUUCAAGUUUCUGACCUAUCAGCUAUCGACGGUAGGGUAUUGGCCUACCGUGGCUAUGACGGGUAACGGAGAAUUAGGGUUCGAUUCCGGAGAGGGAGCCUGAGAAACGGCUACCACAUCUAAGGAUGGCAGCAGGCGCGCAAAUUACCCAAUCCUGACACAGGGAGGUAGUGACAAGAAAUAGCAAUGCAGGGCUUCACAGUCUUGCAAUUGGAAUGAGUAGAUUUUAAAUCACUCUACGAGUAACAAUUGGAGGGCAAGUCUGGUGCCAGCAGCCGCGGUAAUUCCAGCUCCAAUAGCGUAUAUUAAAGUUGUUGCGGUUAAAAAGCUCGUAGUUGAAUUUCUGCCGAGGACGACCUACCCACCUUAGGGUGCGUGUCAGCGUUGACCGAGGCAUCCUCCUAGAUGCGAUCGGGCUUAACGGUUCGUUUGCGCUAGGACUUUUACUUUGAGGAAAUUAGAGUGUUUCAAGCAGGCUUUUGCCUUGAAUAUUUUAGCAUGGAAUUAUAAUUUAGGACUUCGGUUCUAUUUUGUUGGUUUCUAGAACUGAAGUAAUGAUUAAUAGGGACAGUCGGGGGCAUUCGUACUCAACAGUCAGAGGUGAAAUUCUUGGAUUUGUUGGAGACGAACUACUGCGAAAGCAUUUGCCAAGGAUGUUUUCAUUGAUCAAGAACGAAAGUUAGAGGAUCGAAGACGAUUAGAUACCGUCCUAGUCUUAACCAUAAACGAUGCCGACUAGCGAUUGGAGGUUGUUUAAUGACACCUUCAGCAGCUCGUGAGAAAUCAAAGUCUUUGGGUUCCGGGGGGAGUAUGGUCGCAAG
rnacentral:rRNA from 1 species